rnacentral:rRNA from 1 species
GAUGAACGCUGGCGGCGUGCCUAAUACAUGCAAGUCGAGCGAACAGAUGAGGAGCUUGCUCCUCUGACGUUAGCGACGGACGGGUGAGUAACACGUGGAUAACCUACCUAUAAGACUGGGAUAACUUCGGGAAACCGGAGCUAAUACCGGAUAAUAUAUUGAACCGCAUGGUUCAAUAGUGAAAGACGGUUUUGCUGUCACUUAUAGAUGGAUCCGCGCCGCAUUAGCUAGUUGGUAAGGUAACGGCUUACCAAGGCAACGAUCCGUAGCCGACCUGAGAGGGUGCUCGGCCACACUGGAACUGAGACACGGUCCAUACUCCUACGGGAGGCAGCAGUAGGGAAUCUUCCGCAAUAGGCGAAAGCCUGACGGAGCAACGCCGCGUGAGUGAUGAAGGUCUUCGGAUCGUAAAACUCUGUUAUUAGGGAAGAACAAAUGUGUAAGUAACUAUGCACGUCUUGACGGUACCUAAUCAGAAAGCCACGGCUAACUACGUG